GAGGAGCGGGCGCUCGGCGUGGCGCGCCGGCUCAGGACCGGUCAGGUGGCGGUCAACGGCGGCCGGUUCAACCCGCUCGCGCCGUUC
rnacentral:tRNA from 1 species